GAACGGGUGAGUAACACGUGGGUGAUCUGCCCUGCACUUUGGGAUAAGCCUGGGAAACUGGGUCUAAUACCGAAUAGGACCACGCGCUUCAUGGUGUGUGGUGGAAAGCUUUUGCGGUGUGGGAUGGGCCCGCGGCCUAUCAGCUUGUUGGUGGGGUAAUGGCCUACCAAGGCGACGACGGGUAGCCGGCCUGAGAGGGUGACCGGCCACACUGGGACUGAGAUACGGCCCAGACUCCUACGGGAGGCAGCAGUGGGGAAUAUUGCACAAUGGGCGCAAGCCUGAUGCAGCGACGCCGCGUGAGGGAUGACGGCCUUCGGGUUGUAAACCUCUUUCAAUAGGGACGAAGCGCAAGUGACGGUACCUAUAGAAGAAGCACCGGCCAACUACGUGCCAGCAGCCGCGGUAAUACGUAGGGUGCGAGCGUUGUCCGGAAUUACUGGGCGUAAAGAGCUCGUAGGUGGUUUGUCGCGUUGUUCGUGAAAACUCACAGCUUAACUGUGGGCGUGCGGGCGAUACGGGCAGACUAGAGUACUGCAGGGGAGACUGGAAUUCCUGGUGUAGCGGUGGAAUGCGCAGAUAUCAGGAGGAACACCGGUGGCGAAGGCGGGUCUCUGGGCAGUAACUGACGCUGAGGAGCGAAAGCGUGGGGAGCGAACAGGAUUAGAUACCCUGGUAGUCCACGCCGUANACGGUGGGUACUAGGUGUGGGUUCCUUCCUUG
rnacentral:rRNA from 1 species